rnacentral:rRNA from 1 species
CACAUGCAAGUCGAGGGGAAACGACAUCGAAAGCUUGCUUUUGAUGGGCGUCGACCGGCGCACGGGUGAGUAACGCGUAUCCAACCUGCCCAUCACUUGGGGAUAACCUUGCGAAAGUAAGACUAAUACCCAAUGAUAUCUCUAGAAGACAUCUGAAAGGGAUUAAAGAUUUAUCGGUGAUGGAUGGGGAUGCGUCUGAUUAGCUUGUUGGCGGGGUAACGGCCCACCAAGGCGACGAUCAGUAGGGGUUCUGAGAGGAAGGUCCCCCACAUUGGAACUGAGACACGGUCCAAACUCCUACGGGAGGCAGCAGUGAGGAAUAUUGGUCAAUGGACGAGAGUCUGAACCAGCCAAGUAGCGUGCAGGAUGACGGCCCUAUGGGUUGUAAACUGCUUUUAUAAGGGAAUAAAGUGAGUCUCGUGAGGCUUUUUGCAUGUACCUUAUGAAUAAGGACCGGCUAACUCCGUGCCAGCAGCCGCGGUAAUACGGAAGGUCCGGGCGUUAUCCGGAUUUAUUGGGUUUAAAGGGAGCGUAGGCCGGAGAUUAAGCGUGUUGUGAAAUGUAGACGCUCAACGUCUGCACUGCAGCGCGAACUGGUUUCCUUGAGUACGCACAAAGUGGGCGGAAUUCGUGGUGUAGCGGUGAAAUGCUUAGAUAUCACGAAGAACUCCGAUUGCGAAGGCAGCUCACUGGAGCGCAACUGACGCUGAAGCUCGAAAGUGCGGGUAUCGAACAGGAUUAGAUACCCUGGUAGCCCGCACGGUAAACGAUGGAUGCCCGCUGUUGGUCUGAAUAGGUCAGCGGCCAAGCGAAAGCAUUAAGCAUCCCACCUGGGGAGUACGCCGGCAACGGUGAAACUCAAAGGAAUUGACGGG